GAGGGGCGCGGGGACGCCAGACCUGGCCCGGCUGCCCCGCACCCGCCACCCCUGGCAGGUGCGCCCCGCCUCCGCGGCGCCCCUAGGCGGCCCCCGGCCCGGGGGGCGGGUUAUCGAGGCCCCGCCCCAUCCGCGGAGCCAAUGGGGGCGCGGACAGCCGGGCAGGCGGGGCUGGGCGCGGGCGGCUGCGGCCGGGAGGAGAACGGGCGGAGGGCGCGGGCCGACCGGGCGCACCGACCAUGGCCUCCAAAUGCCCCAAGUGCGACAAGACCGUGUACUUCGCCGAGAAGGUGAGCUCCCUGGGUAAGGACUGGCACAAGUUCUGCCUCAAGUGCGAGCGCUGCAGCAAGACGCUGACGCCCGGGGGCCACGCCGAGCAUGACGGGAAGCCGUUCUGCCACAAGCCGUGCUACGCCACCCUGUUCGGACCCAAAGGCGUGAACAUCGGGGGCGCGGGCUCCUACAUCUACGAGAAGCCCCUGGCGGAGGGGCCGCAGGUCACCGGCCCCAUCGAGGUCCCCGCGGCCCGAGCGGAGGAGCGGAAGGCGAGCGGCCCCCCGAAGGGGCCCAGCAGAGCCUCCAGUGUCACUACUUUCACCGGGGAGCCCAACACGUGCCCGCGCUGCAGCAAGAAGGUGUACUUCGCUGAGAAGGUGACGUCUCUGGGCAAGGAUUGGCACCGGCCCUGCCUGCGCUGCGAGCGCUGCGGGAAGACACUGACCCCCGGUGGGCACGCAGAGGUGAGGGGAGCGCGACGGGGCUUGGGGGCCGGGCAGGGGCACGGGGGGGGGGGGGGGGGGAAGAGGGGGGGGGGGGCGCCAGGAAGGGAUGGGGGGGGGGAGGUGCUUCUGGGAACUGCGCUGUCCCUGGAAGCCUCCAGGUGAUGGGUCGGGGGAGUCUGUGGACCCCUUCCUCAGCACCCCACCUUCUGCCUCAGCACGAUGGCCAGCCCUACUGCCACAAGCCCUGCUAUGGAAUCCUCUUCGGACCCAAGGGAGUGAACACCGGCGCGGUGGGCAGCUACAUCUAUGACCGGGACCCCGAGGGCAAGGUCCAACCCUAGGCCGCAGCGGCUCUCAUGACGUGGGCCCCCCUGCUUGGCUCUGCUGGAAGAGUGCCCAGCCACCCAGUCCUGCCUGCAAGCCCAGGGCGAGUAUUGGAGGAGGGGCAGCCACGGGCAGAGCGCCAUGCCCAUCCCUGAGUCUGUGGUGUGUCUGCCCCCUCUGGCGUCCUCUGGGCGUCCCAUGACCCCUUCUGUGUCUGUGCCUCCGAAUCCCCGUGUGACCCUGUUCCAGCACUUUCCCGCCAGCCCUGCGUGUCCCUGCGCACUGUCCGCCCUCCUUCCCUCUCCUGCUGCCCACCCACCUGCCAGUGUUAUUUAUGUUCCCUUUGUGGCUGACGGCCACGCCCUCACCGUGUCCCUGGCUGAGGGCUUCCCUCUGGGAUCCCCUGCCUGGUGCCCACACUGCCUCACAAGCCCUCGCCCCCCUCACGUGGCUCACCUGCUGCUGAGCCUUGUGCUGUCAAUAAACGGUUUGAGGAUUGCA